AUUGAUCGAAUACACUAUUCAGCAACCAUGGGGCAGAUCAAAACUCUUCAACGUGUUCAGUUGAUAUUCUUCGUUGGUGUCGUCGCUUGCGUUGUUAUCAACGCUCUUCCGUCACCAUCACCAAACUCGAACUUCCCUUUUCCGUUCCCAAGGAGUAACUUCCCGUUUCCAGACAACAACUUCCCGUUCCCAAGGAGUAACUUCCCGUUUCCAGAAAGCAACUUCCCGUUCCCAAGGAGUAACUUCCCGUUCCCGUACGUCGUUUAUUAGACCGUUGAGCCCUAAUCAAUACUGUAUGUAGAUUUGGAAUAACAGCUAAUAUGUUUGCCUCCUGAUUCAUGAAUUUAGUGCACGUGUAUGUGCGCAGCACGCACAAUAAAAUUAUAACAUACGAGUAAAAAAGCUCACUAUACAUUCAUGUCAACAUUUCAUUUUCAAUAUGUACAUACGUGAGAUCACAAAUUAAAGCAUACAAACUCUCUGUCCACUUUUGGAUGAACCGU